rnacentral:rRNA from 1 species
CUGCGAAUGGCUCAUUAUAUAAGUUAUCGUUUAUUUGAUAGUACCUUACUACUUGGAUAACCGUGGUAAUUCUAGAGCUAAUACAUGCUAAAAAUCCCGACUCCGGAAGGGAUGUAUUUAUUAGAUUAAAAACCAAUGCCCUCUGGGCUCUCUGGUGAUUCAUGAUAACUUCUCGAAUCGCAUGGCCUUGCGCCGGCGAUGGUUCAUUCAAAUUUCUUCCCUAUCAACUUUCGAUGUUUGGGUAGUGGCCAAACAUGGUUGCAACGGGUAACGGAGGGUUAGGGCUCGACCCCGGAGAAGGAGCCUGAGAAACGGCUACUACAUCCAAGGAAGGCAGCAGGCGCGCAAAUUACCCAAUCCCGAUCCGGGGAGGUAGUGACAAUAAAUACUGAUACAGGGCUCUUUUGGGUCUUGUAAUCGGAAUGAGUACAAUUUAAAUCCCUUAACGAGGAACAAUUGGAGGGCAAGUCUGGUGCCAGCAGCCGCGGUAAUUCCAGCUCCAAUAGCGUAUAUUAAAGUUGUUGUGGUUAAAAAGCUCGUAGUUGAACCUUGGGCCUGGCUGGCCGGUCCGCCUCACCGCGUGCACUGGUCCGGCCGGGCCUUUCCCUCUGUGGAACCCCAUGCCCUUCACUGGGCGUGGCGGGGAAACAGGACUUUUACUUUGAAAAAAUUAGAGUGCUCCAGGCAGGCCUAUGCUCGAAUACAUUAGCAUGGAAUAAUAAAAUAGGACGUGCGGUUCUAUUUUGUUGGUUUCUAGGACCGCCGUAAUGAUUAAUAGGGACAGUCGGGGGCAUCAGUAUUCAAUUGUCAGAGGUGAAAUUCUUGGAUUUAUUGAAGACUAACUACUGCGAAAGCAUUUGCCAAGGAUGUUUUCAUUAAUCAGGAACGAAAGUUAGGGGAUCGAAGACGAUCAGAUACCGUCGUAGUCUUAACCAUAAACUAUGCCGACUAGGGAUCGGACGAUGUUAUUUUUUGACUCGUUCGGCACCUUACGAGAAAUCAAAGUG